CACCAGACUCCUACGGGAGGCAGCAGUGGGGAAUAUUGCACAAUGGGGGAAACCCUGAUGCAGCGACGCCGCGUGAGCGAUGAAGUAUUUCGGUAUGUAAAGCUCUAUCAGCAGGGAAGAAAAUGACGGUACCUGACUAAGAAGCCCCGGCUAACUACGUGCCAGCAGCCGCGGUAAUACGUAGGGGGCAAGCGUUAUCCGGAUUUACUGGGUGUAAAGGGGGCGCAGACGGCGAUGCAAGCCAGGAGUGAAAGCCCGGGGCCCAACCCCGGGACUGCUCUUGGAACUGCGUGGCUGGAGUGCAGGAGGGGCAGGCGGAAUUCCUGGUGUAGCGGUGAAAUGCGUAGAUAUCAGGAGGAACACCGGUGGCGAAGGCGGCCUGCUGGACUGCAACUGACGUUGAGGCCCGAAAGCGUGGGGAGCAAACAGGAUUAGAUACCCGCGUAGC
rnacentral:rRNA from 1 species